UGCCAUUCUUUGUAAGUAACUGGGGGUCACGUUUACACUGCUCUACUCACACACCAUCACCUAAUUCCCCCUGAGAUCCAGCGAGUGCAUUUGCACUUGGUUAUAAGUGCAGAGAGCCCUGGAAUCUUUAUCAGGAGAACAGAAUUUGGGUGACAGCCUUGUCGCAUACCAGAAGGAGUUUGCCAAGCCCUGUUCCAAGUGUGAUGCCUGGACCACCUGCAGCAGGAUCACUGUGUUGAAAUGCAGAUUUGUGUCUCCAGUUCCAUCCAAGCCAGGCGGCAGAGGAAGCAUCAGAAGAGUCAAGUGGAACAUGGUCCGUGAUGGGUCACAAGCCCAGGGGCCCAGGGAAGCACAAUCAGUCCCUAUGGGAGACGCCGGCUGCCAUGUUGCGAAGAUACUCAAGCAAUCCUAUGGAGAGGUACACAUUGUGAAACACCGAGGCCUCCUGCCAAUAGCCAGCAUGGAGCUGGGGUUUCCUGCUAACUACUAAAAAAGAGUGACUCGUCUUGGGGGCAGGUUCUUCAGCCCUAGUUAAACCUUCAGAUGAUCAAAACCCCUGUUGAUAGCAUGACUGAAAACUCAUAAGAGACACCAAAUAAGAACCACGCAGCUGAACCUCUCUUAUGUACCUGACCCACAAAAACCACACACUAACAAAGGUCUGUUGUUUUAACUAAGUAUUAGAGUAAUCUGUUGUGCAACAAUAGAUAAUUAAUACAUAGUUGGUCAGAUUUUCUAACCUAUCAUGAGAAUCAGCAAUACUCACGAAACCUGUGAUAAACACACACAUACACAACUACUCACUUUUUUUAAUUGAAAGAAUAACAUUUUCAGAUUUUAUCAUUGAAGUUCUACUUUAGAAACAAUACCUGAAUCUGACCCUUUUAAAUAAAUAACUUGUCAAAGGUGCUGUUUAUAUGCAACAAAUUCAUGUGCUAACUGAAAUUAUUUUUAAAUGGGUGGUAUAAGCACAGAUUUUCAUUACUCUACACUGUGCUACAUACAUGACUGUCACUAAUAAACUUCUUGACACUGCAUCUAAAGUUACUUCUAGAUGCUUCUUGCAUUGGCUCCUUUUUAUAAGGAUAUCGAUUUCCUUUUUGUUUGGGAUCUUAUGUUCAAAAAGGGAAGCAGAUGCAUGUUUAUUAUGAAGAUGAAACCUAUCUUUUGUGAGAAUGAGAUUUUAAAAAUCACACUUAGGACAUUAAAUAAUGCUUGUGCAGCAAAGAUCAUAAUGACAUCAUGCAUCUGUGGAGAGUUUACAAGCACACAUACUUAUUUAAGCCUGCUAGCAGUCCUAUAGAGUAGGCAUUAUUUUUCCCAUUUUAAACAGACAAAAACGAUUCACGUGAGAAUUGUCCAAGACUUACCACCACUUCCAGACCACCAAAGGUAAUCUUCUCAGUGCAAGCCCAAAUUCUCCUUUUUCUUUUCUCCCAAUGAUGUAGAAUCCUUUCUGGAAAGGGGCGCAGGUUGAAAUGCUAAGCUAGGCAAGUUGGAGUAUAAUAAAGUAGCUGAUGAGCUACAGUUGGGAGGGUGUUAAAGAGAGAGAGAGAGACAUCAAAUCAACAGUGGGGUAUGAGGGAAGAGAAAUUUAAUGUGUUCUAUGGGCAAUUUAUUUGCAUCUCCUUUAAUUUCAUUUGUGAGAUAUGAGAAAUUAAUAGAAUCUGUUUUAAUUAUUUUUGCCUGUUGAACUGUGCUUUUUCAACAUAUCACUUUAAAGCUUUUGGAUUUUAAGGUGGCACAUUUGAGAAUGUUAAGGUUCAGAAAGUAGAAAUAACCUUCCCAAGAAUCCAGAUUUUCUAAUUGAAGUGGUUUUUCCACUUUGUCCCUUAGCUUCCUUGUUCAUCUAUUCAUGCAACAAAUAGUAACUGGUCACAUAAUGGACUCAGGGCCUUAUCCUAGGCCAUUAGAAAAUAAGUUAGCUUAAAGGUACAAAAACUGUCAUUUCGAAACUCAGCAAAAGAAUUACAGACCUGAAUUCAGUCACCUUUGGGUCAGAUUAUUCCCAUGCUUGGGAUAAACAAGUGGGUGGGCUCUUUAAUUACCCAAAUGCAAAACAAACACCCGCCAUUAUUCAGAGCCAAAGCUGUGAAGUGACAGUAAUGCUAUGUUUUAGAAUGAGAACAAAAGCCUCCUCUAAUUGUAAAUUUUUUACCUAUGGUUGAGCCAAAGCUGUGGUGAUUUUUUUUUUCUUUUUUUCUUUUUGUCAUCCUGCUUAUCUUUCUAGAGAAUAUGUGGCAAGACUACGCCUUUUCUCUAUGUAGAUCUAGGGUACCCUGUACCAGUAAACCUUUGUUUCUCUUGAAGAGAGACAGACAUUCAAGAGUCAUCCUAACUUUAGGAUAAAAGGAGAACUGUAAACAGGGCUCUUUGUGGUUCAGGCUGUACUAGGAUGUGGGUGUCCUGCACAUUGUGUUAUUUAAGAACAAAUAAAAUACCCCUUGGGAAAUCCAUUAAUGUUAGAAUACUGUGUUCUAAUGUGCUUAUCCUGUUGAGGUUAUUUCUGUCUUGGAUGACGAAAUGCGGACUUGGGAAAUAACCUCAGGCUGGGCUGAAGAGGAAACCAGUGAGCAUUACUCUCCUUAUUCAGGCUUCCUGCAUUCCGCUUGACUACUCACCCCAUCUUGAAAUUCUCUUCCCUCUUGGGUUCUACGUUGCUGCUGUUUUUUGGUUUUUCUCCUACAGCACUUGAUGCUCUUGUUCAAACUUCUUUUCCAACCUCCAUUCUCCACCCAAGUUCACUUCUCUCAGGACCUGGUUGUUGACUUCUCUUCUAUAAUAGCCUCACUCUCUCUCUCUCUCUCUGCUAUCUUACCCAUUGUCAGGGCUUUAACUACCAUCUAUAUUUUGAUGACGCCCAAAUUUAUAUCUCUGGCCCUCAUUUUUUCCUUGAAUUCAAUACCUACAUGUCCAACUGCCUUCUUGGCAUGGCCACUUGACUACCCAAUAGGUCUCUCAAAUUAAACACUUAAGAGGAACUCUUGAUUUGUCCCAAACUCUAUUCCUCCCCCAAUAUUCCCCUUCUAAGGAAAUGGUGCCUUUACCCACUCAUUUGCUCAACUAAACACUGGAAGUCAAAUGGAAUUCUUUCCUUUGCAUCCUCACUCAUAACAUAUCAGGAAGUUGCAUUGGUUCUAUCUCUAAUACACAUCCACUUCUUCUCAUCUCUGCUUCUAACACCAUUGUACAAGCUACCAUUAUAUUGCCUGGGCUGUUGCAAUAGCCUACGGGUGUCUCUACUUAGUAUAUUGGUGGACUACUCCACUAUGUUUUCAGCAGUCAGAGUAAACUUUUAAAUAAGUGUUAUCAAAUCAUGGCCUCUUUUAGUUAAUAUCUCCUGCUGCCUUAGGAAUAAAAACCAAGCCUCUGCAUAAUCUAGUGCCCACUUCACUUCCCCAACUCAUUCCAUUUCAUCCCACUCUCCCCCUCACUCCUGCCAUAAUAUCUUCUUUUAGGUGAAGGAAAGCCACACCACUUUACCCCCAAUGCCAGAACAAUGAUGGCAACACCAUUCCAAGGGAAGUGGGUAGUCCUGGACCUGUUGGGAGACAGCAGCAGGAACUCAAUGUGGAUUCUGAGGAAGGAGAGGUGGGGAGGUGGAGGGGGGCCUGCAGCACAGGCUUAACCUCAACUGAGCUCCAUGAACAUGAGAUACCGUGAGAUGCUCUGAGAGCAGUAGAGAGGCCAGUCGACAUCAGGGGCUGGUUGGGGCUGCUACCAAUGACAUGGGGUGCCUACCGAUUACAAUCAGCAGUAUUAAUGGAAAUGUGACCUCAUCACUGGGUGACAAGUACCUAAGACAUAUCAGUGUUUUUCACCAAUGAAUUCAAGAGCCUCUACCCUCCAGGACUUUCCAGUAUAAUAAAAGAGACAGACAGAUAAAUAAUUGUGAUACAGUAUGAGAAGUGCUCUCACAAACAUAGGUGCUAAGAGGAAAGAUGGCACAAAGGUAUCCAAGAGUAAUACUCACUAGAAGGUGGCACUAAGCAGACAGGGUUAUGGAGGAUUAUUCCACGGUGGCUGAAAGCAUGACCCCAUUUGGGUUUCUCCCAAGAAAAUUUCCAGGUGAUCAAAUUUUAGAUUUUAAUAUUGUCAGAAAAAUUAAGACUAGUACUAUGGGUAGAGAAAUGAAGGAGACCAUCUUUACUAGACGGUGCUUUUGACUUCAGAGUGUCAUGAAAGUGUUAGAUAUAAGUUCUAAAUUUCUUUUCAAAGAAUUAGUAUGUCAGUGUGUUCAAUUCUUUGCCUUCUACUUUUAAACUUA